GGCACUAGGCAAUUAAAAAAAAAAAAGAGAUGUAUGAUCAGAGACAAAAGGAAGACUAAUUAAAGCACAUCCCAUUUCCCUGACUAUUCUUUGCCUUUAAUCAGAUUAAUCUUAAUGAAAACUGUUCAAUGUCUUUAGCACAGUAACAACAAACAGCUCGAUGGGAAGAGGUAUCGGCAGUCAUUCGUUGGAACCCAACACUAAAGCCAGUGCCUUGGGCCUAGCUUUUAAGAGCUCCAGUCCAAACUAUGACGCUGAUGCUUUACUCAGACCUUCUGACUCUAUACUUUGUCUCUGACCAUGGAUAGUAUCUUUCUGACCUUUUGGUUCUUUGAUGGAUCCCUCAUUUCUUUGGCAUGAUAAUUAAUUUAUUCCAAAAG
rnacentral:lncRNA from 1 species